GUGGCUUCCGGUGCUUUGACAAAACCUCAGAUACAUGGCCUUCUGGCUGAGCAUCUGUGAUUUCAUAUUGUUGGCGCAUUUGUUAUUUCCCUGGGGGUUGCAACCCUCUGUAACUUUGCUGUGGCUGAACUAAAAAAGAAGGCAUACACGGAUUCUACAGAAAUUAUGAUUCUAUGAAAGAUUUUGAGGAGAUGAGGUAUCUUUCAGAGUG
rnacentral:lncRNA from 1 species